GAGGAUGGGAAGAUGAGAAGUGCUUAUCACCGGGCCUGGAGAUGGGGACCACCCAGGCAUGUAGGGGACGCUGCCUCUCCUCCAUCCAACAACAAGCCUGCCUGUGCCCAGCCCCCUCUGGUACACGCAUUGCUCCACAUCCUCAGCAUUGAUUGAUUGAAAAUAAGACCUUGGAAGAACCCCUUGCAAAGCUGAUAUCGUACGAGCCAAGGCAGUGAGCCUCACGGGGUCGGGGGAAGACAGGGGAUCCCGAAGAUAAUGUCUGCUACGAACUCAGUUGCAUCCGCCCUGGGCCCUACGUUGACUGCAUUUGCAGAAGGACCUUCAGCACAUGAUGGAAGCAGCCCCGGAGAGGGUCAGCGAGGGGCCUCCACUGUCUGAGUCUGCUCCUGGCAACGCCUGCUCUCUGCACUCAGAGGCCCUGUCCCGGCAGCUGCCACGUUGCUCAGAAGUUCUGGCAGGGGGAGCCUGAAACCCCUGUCUGCUGGCGACACUCCCGGAGCUGCAGGAAAUCUCUACAUUUUAUUUUUUUUCUUAACAGACAAAAGUAUUUGACUCCAGAAUGAUUUCCAGGAAUUACAGUAUGAGAACUUAGUCUUUGAGAUUUUUAUUUUCUUCUUAAAAAAAUAAAAAUGAAAUCAAAGCAGAAGACA
rnacentral:lncRNA from 1 species